GACGAACGCUGGCGGCGUGCUUAACACAUGCAAGUCGAACGGAAAGGCCCUGCUUUUGUGGGGUGCUCGAGUGGCGAACGGGUGAGUAACACGUGAGUAACCUGCCCUUGACUUUGGGAUAACUUCAGGAAACUGGGGCUAAUACCGGAUAGGAGCUCCUGCUGCAUGGUGGGGGUUGGAAAGUUUCGGCGGUUGGGGAUGGACUCGCGGCUUAUCAGCUUGUUGGUGGGGUAGUGGCUUACCAAGGCUUUGACGGGUAGCCGGCCUGAGAGGGUGAACGGGCACAUUGGGACUGAGAUACGGCCCAGACUCCUACGGGAGGCAGCAGGGGGGAAUAUUGCACAAUGGGCGGAAGCCUGAUGCAGAAACGCCGCGUGCGGGAUGAAGGCCUUCGGGUUGUAAACCGCUUUCGCCUGUGACGAAGCGUGAGUGACGGUAAUGGGUAAAGAAGCACCGGCUAACUACGUG
rnacentral:rRNA from 1 species